rnacentral:tRNA from 1 species
UCAAGAUAUUGACUGAGUGAUUGUUUCCAUAUUCAGGGAAAUCUGGGUUGAAAGAAAAACAUAGUAGGUGAUCCUGAGCCAAAUUUAAAGUACAAAAUAGGUGCAGAGACCCAAAGGAAACUAUCCAAUUGAAAACUAUAAUAUUUAGAUAUAGAUAAAUUUNUGUUAGAUAUGGAUAAAGAUAGAGUCCAUUUUUACAUGCUAUAUCUAGUUAGCAACGAUGUAAAUCAUUGUAAAAAGAAAAUCCGUUGGCUUUUUAGACCGUGAGGGUUCAAGUCCCUCUACCCCCA